rnacentral:rRNA from 1 species
UACGUAGGGUGCGAGCGUUGUCCGGAAUUAUUGGGCGUAAAGCGCUCGUAGGCGGUUUGUUGCGUCGGCCGUGAAAACCUGCAGCUUAACUGUGGGCCUGCGGCCGAUACGGGCAGACUUGAGUUCGGUAGGGGAGACUGGAAUUCCUGGUGUAGCGGUGAAAUGCGCAGAUAUCAGGAGGAACACCGGUGGCGAAGGCGGGUCUCUGGGCCGAUACUGACGCUGAGGAGCGAAAGCGUGGGGAGCGAACAGG